rnacentral:rRNA from 1 species
UACGAAGGGUGCAAGCGUUGUUCGGAAUCAUUGGGCGUAAAGCGCGCGCAGGCGGAUCAGCAAGUCAGAUGUGAAAUCUCGAGGCUCAACCUCGAGCUGUCGGUGGAAACUGUCUGGCUAGAGUCCGGAAGAGGAGAGUGGAAUUCCUGGUGUAGCGGUGAAAUGCGCAGAUAUCAGGAAGAACACCUAUGGCGAAGGCAGGUCUCUGGGCAUUAACUGACGCUGAGGAGCGAAAGCAUGGGGAGCGAACAGG